UGCAGUCGAGCGGAGAUGAGGUGCUUGCACCUUAUCUUAGCGGCGGACGGGUGAGUAAUGCUUAGGAAUCUGCCUAUUAGUGGGGGACAACAUUCCGAAAGGAAUGCUAAUACCGCAUACGCCCUACGGGGGAAAGCAGGGGAUCUUCGGACCUUGCGCUAAUAGAUGAGCCUAAGUCGGAUUAGCUAGUUGGUGGGGUAAAGGCCUACCAAGGCGACGAUCUGUAGCGGGUCUGAGAGGAUGAUCCGCCACACUGGGACUGAGACACGGCCCAGACUCCUACGGGAGGCAGCAGUGGGGAAUAUUGGACAAUGGGCGGAAGCCUGAUCCAGCCAUGCCGCGUGUGUGAAGAAGGCCUUUUGGUUGUAAAGCACUUUAAGCGAGGAGGAGGCUACUUAGAUUAAUACUCUAGGAUAGUGGACGUUACUCGCAGAAUAAGCACCGGCUAACUCUGUGCCAGCAGCCGCGGUAAUACAGAGGGUGCGAGCGUUAAUCGGAUUUACUGGGCGUAAAGCGUGCGUAGGCGGCUGAUUAAGUCGGAUGUGAAAUCCCUGAGCUUAACUUAGGAAUUGCAUUCGAUACUGGUCAGCUAGAGUAUGGGAGAGGAUGGUAGAAUUCCAGGUGUAGCGGUGAAAUGCGUAGAGAUCUGGAGGAAUACCGAUGGCGAAGGCAGCCAUCUGGCCUAAUACUGACGCUGAGGUACGAAAGCAUGGGGAGCAAACAGGAUUAGAUACCCUGGUAGUCCAUGCCGUANACGAUGUCUACUAGCCGUUGGGGCCUUUGAGGCUUUAGUGGCGCAGCUAACGCGAUAAGUAGACCGCCUGGGGAGUACGGU
rnacentral:rRNA from 1 species